rnacentral:rRNA from 1 species
UUACGGGAGGCAGCAGUGGGGAAUAUUGGACAAUGGGCGAAAGCCUGAUCCAGCCAUGCCGCGUGUGUGAAGAAGGCCUUCGGGUUGUAAAGCACUUUCAGUGGGGAAGAAAGCCUUGGGGCUAAUACCCUCGAGGAAGGACAUCACCCACAGAAGAAGCACCGGCUAACUCCGUGCCAGCAGCCGCGGUAAUACGGAGGGUGCGAGCGUUAAUCGGAAUUACUGGGCGUAAAGCGCGCGUAGGCGGUCUGAUAAGCCGGUUGUGAAAGCCCCGGGCUCAACCUGGGAACGGCAUCCGGAACUGUCAGGCUAGAGUGCAGGAGAGGAAGGUAGAAUUCCCGGUGUAGCGGUGAAAUGCGUAGAGAUCGGGAGGAAUACCAGUGGCGAAGGCGGCCUUCUGGACUGACACUGACGCUGAGGUGCGAAAGCGUGGGUAGCAAACAGGAUUAGAUACCCCGGUAGUC